rfam:Clostridium saccharoperbutylacetonicum N1-4(HMT), complete genome.
UGGAAAGUUGGAAACGAUGAUGAGUUCUUUUAUUUGGGCACCUUAAGAAUUCGGAGUUAGUGGUGCAACCUGCCAACAAUUAA